rnacentral:rRNA from 1 species
CGACCUGAGAAUGAUGAAACAUCACUCAGCUGGUUCGCCAGAUGUAGAGGUGGCACCAAGUCGUAUAUAACAUUAAACGACUCUCGGCAACGGAUAUCUCGGCUCUCGCAUCGAUGAAGAACGUAGCGAAAUGCGAUACUUGGUGUGAAUUGCAGAAUCCCGUGAACCAUCGAGUCUUUGAACGCAAGUUGCGCCCGAAGCCUUUAGGUCGAGGGCACGCCUGCCUGGGCAUCACGCAUCGCGUCUCCCCCCACCCACCUUCAGUGGGAGGGGCGGAGGAUGAUGGCCUCCCAUGCCUCACCGGGUGUGGAUGGCCUAAAUACGGAGCCCCCGGUUAUGAAGUGCCGCGGCAUAGGUGAGAUACAAGGCCUAGCCUAGGAUACAUCGGAGUCGUGCACUUUUUAGCUUUUGAGGACUCGCAGGACCCUAAGUUUGUUUGCCCAUUGGGGCAUCAAAACCGUUGCGACCCCAGGUCAGGCGGGGCUACCCGCUGAG